AUUUGAAAUCUGGCUUCGGCCCGAGUUGUAAUUUGCAGAGGAUGUUUCUGGCGCGGUGCCUUCCGAGUUCCCUGGAACGGGACGCCACAGAGGGUGAGAGCCCCGUAUGGUUGGACACCAAGCCUGUGUGAAACUCCUUCGACGAGUCGAGUAGUUUGGGAAUGCUGCUCUAAAUGGGAGGUAAAUCUCUUCUAAAGCUAAAUACCGGCCAGAGACCGAUAGCGCACAAGUAGAGUGAUCGAAAGAUGAAAAGCACCUUGAAAAGGGGGUUAAAUAGUACGUGAAAUUGUUGAAAGGGAAGCACUUAUGACCAGACUUGGGCCGGGCGGCUCAUCAGGGGUUCUCCCCUGUGCACUCCGCCCGGCACAGGCCAGCAUCGGUUUUCGCGGGGGGAUAAGACCGGCGGGAACGUAGCACCCUCCGGGGUGUGUUAUAGCCCGUCGGACGAUACCCUCGCGGGGACCGAG
rnacentral:rRNA from 1 species